rnacentral:rRNA from 1 species
UACGGGGGGGGCAAGCGUUGUUCGGAAUUACUGGGCGUAAAGGGCUCGUAGGCGGCCAACUAAGUCAGACGUGAAAUCCCUCGGCUUAACCGGGGAACUGCGUCUGAUACUGGAUGGCUUGAGGUUGGGAGAGGGAUGCGGAAUUCCAGGUGUAGCGGUGAAAUGCGUAGAUAUCUGGAGGAACACCGGGUGGCGAAGGCGGCAUCCUGGACCGAUUCUGACGCUGAGGAGCGAAAGCCAGGGGAGCCAAAGCGGGG